rnacentral:rRNA from 1 species
GACGAACGCUGGCGGCGUGCCUAAUACAUGCAAGUCGAGCGCCAACGCAUUGUACUUUUACCAACUGGGUGAGCAGCUGACGGGUGAGUAACGCGUGGAGCAUCUUCCUCUUUGUGGGGGGCAACAUCUGGAAACGAAUGCUAAUACCGCAUAAAAACUUUAAACACAGGAUUUAAGUUUGAAAGAUACAAUUGCCUAUCUCAUAGGUGGACCCGCGUUGUAUUAGCUAGUUGGUGAGGUAAACGCUCACCAAGGCGGAGAUACCUAGCCUAACUGAGAGGGAGAUUGGCCACAUUGGGACUGAGACACGGCUCAAACCCCUACGGGAGGGAGCAGUAGGGGAUCUUCGGAAAUGGGCGAAAGUCUGACCGCGGAACGCCGCGUGAGGGGAGAAAGGUGUCCGGUCGGAAAACUCUGUUUGUAGGGAAGAACGUUCGUCAGGGUAGAAAGCUCAUGAAGUGACGGUAACUACCCAGAAAGGGACGGCUAACUACGUG